CUCCAUUUAAGGCGCAAAACCGACCCAACUAAACCCGCAUAAAAUGAAACCGGGUCGAACCGUAUGACCCGACCUUUACCAAAUUAAAAAAAAAAAAAAAGAAAAAAAAAAAGGCAUUCCUUAAUGAGAGAAGCUCCCGGCUGGAUGAGUUUGAAACCAUUUUUGCACCGGCCACUAAUAUCGCGACACGUAGACAUUUCGAAUAUAAUUUUCCCGCAGCCGGCACCACCAAAUCAACUCUCUAUUUGCUCUCUCUCUCUCUCUCUCUCUCUCUCUCUCUCCAUCUGCCCUCAACGAAAUCUAUCCUCUCCGUUCUCUCCCUCUCCCUUCCUCUCUCAAACCACUCGAUGCGACGCCGAAGGAAGAAAAUAUGAUCAAAACGCAGAAGCCCUUCUGUAGAGUUUCUUGGCUACGAAUAUUCUUGGGCUCUUUCUUCUUGUUUUGGUGUUGGUUCUUUUCAUUACGAGAAACAGUUGAAGGAUUUAGGACUUGAUUUUAGAGUUUGGGCUAUCGAUUUUCUUGGGCAAGGCAAGUCGUUGGAUGGGUACGUAUUUGCAGGUGGACUCCUGUGUCGGUAAGAAUUCCAAUCCCAGCAGAAGUAAACCCACAAGCAACAGAGGAGAAACGUGAGACUUGAGUGUGCAGAUUUGGACCUCGUGGAGAAGCAACAAAGGGGAUGAUGUGAAGACGAAAGGCGAUGAAGAACGGCGCUAACGUGCUAGGGUUUGAGGAGAAGGAGAUGAGAGGCACGAGCAAGUUUUCGGUAAUUGGUUUCGACCGAUAACAGGGUGCUUAAACCCGUUAUUGUGCUUAACCCGUUGAACCCGACUUUGUUCGGGUAGGCCCAAGUCGGUUAUUUCGGACGGAUCGGGCCAUGCAUUUUUGUGCACAGGCCUAAUAUUCCCCAUAUCCAAGAUGGCGAACACAAUAAUUGUUCUAUGGUGCUUGCCAGGAGGGGAUCGAACACUUUUGCUCGCUCAAUUUGCAAGAAAAUAAAUGAUACACACAUGGGAGUACCUUGGGAGCGACCACUUUUACUUGUAUGUGGUAAUCGCCCAGCCCCAAGGUGAGCAUAUUGGCUCUUUGUGCUACAGGGCGGGGUGCUGAGCACUAUUGCUCCCCUAGGUGGUGAAAUAUAGCACAGAUCUUAAAAGAUAUUCAUCGGCUGCAUAAGAGUAUUGAACAUGGACCAAUUCAUUUGUAGUAUAGGAUGCCAUGCAUAAGGUUUCUCCAUCAUCUCUAAUUCGCGAAGGACUAUGUGCAGAAGAUCUCCCAUAGAUUAGAAGUUGGAGUUCUAUUUAUAUAUACUUUUUGCUAUCCAAAGAUGGCAAGCUUGAUGCUCCUUGGUGUUGCUUGCUUGCUUGCAUGGCAAACACUUUUGUCCUUUGCGGCGCUCAUCCAAGUGUGAGCACAAUGACUACUAAUAAUAUUCUUAUUGUUUGUAAGUGAUCUUGAAGACCAUUUAAAGAUGGCAUUGUUUUUUAAA